AACGAACGCUGGCGGCAGGCUUAACACAUGCAAGUCGAACGGUUGUAGCAAUACAGCAGUGGCAGACGGGUGAGUAACACGUGGGAACCUUCCUAGGGGUACGGAACAACUCAGGGAAACUUGAGCUAAUACCGUAUACGUCCGUGAGGAGAAAGAUUUAUCGCCCUUAGACGGGCCCGCGUCGGAUUAGCUAGUUGGUGGGGUAACGGCCUACCAAGGCGACGAUCCGUAGCUGAUCUUAGAGGAUGAUCAGCCACACUGGGACUGAGACACGGCCCAGACUCCUACGGGAGGCAGCAGUGGGGAAUCUUGGACAAUGGGCGCAAGCCUGAUCCAGCCAUGCCGCGUGAGUGAAGAAGGUCUUCGGAUUGUAAAGCUCUUUUACCAGGGACGAUAAUGACGGUACCUGGAGAAUAAGCCCCGGCAAACUUCGUGCCAGCAGCCGCAGUAAGAC
rnacentral:rRNA from 1 species